GCCUGGGUGGCUCAGUCGGUUGAGCGUCCGACUUCGGCUCAGGGCAUGAUCCCCAGUUCGUGGGUUCGAGCCCCGCGUCGGGCU
rnacentral:tRNA from 1 species